GCAUGCGUGGCUUUGGUAGCAUUGACUCAGCUCUUCCUUUAGACAGUAAUCUUAGAAAAAGUCGUUCCAUGGACGACAGACUUCAGCGAAGCACAACCAGUGGCCAUUUUCUUCAAGUGACUGAUCCGGCCGUAGGAAGGUACAGAAAAACUUCUGCCCCGCUGCCCAUUCGUAUCAGUAGCGAGUCCGAUUACGACUUCUACAGGAAAAAUUCCGCUCCCGAGAGUUCUAGUUUUGGUAGGAAGGUGCGUACGAGAAUGUCGCGAGCAUUGGCGCUGGA